rnacentral:lncRNA from 1 species
CCUUUGAGGAAUGCUUUGAAUUGUUGUAUGCGCUUUCCUAUCCAAUUCAUUAACUUAAGGAGAACUUGAAGGUUAAUUUAAGCGUAUCUAAUUAACUUGGGGGUGUUGAGUUUCAUAAUUUAUUGGAAAAACAACUGAAAAUCGUUUUGUUUGCAAGUGUGACAUGUGUGGAUAAGAACCUCCUAACUAGCCUUUUAUCCAUCCUUUUCAUCUAAAAACGUUUUACAAUCUGUUUUGUUUUAAAGUUUCUGUUUUGUUUUCAAUUUUCGUCCAAAACAAAUCCCCCUUUAUUUUGAAGUCUUAGAUUAGUUAGAAAGUGUUUUGAUUUGUGUUUCUAAGUGUUUUGAUUCAAGUUUUCACCCAAAUUCGUCCAAGUUCUUGUUAGGUUCUCAAAACUGCCCAGAAAGUGGUUUUUAGGCAGUUUUGAGUCAUUAGGUUGCUGUUUUGAGUUUUAGGUUUGUUUAAGUGUUUUAACCUUUAGUUUUGCAUUCUUUGAGUCUAGUUUAGUGUUUUAAACUUUGUUUUUGAGUUUUUAAGUCAGUUUCCAAGUGUUUAGCAAUCCCUCAUAAUCCCCGGUCUAGAACGAUCCCUACUUACAUACUUUACUACAUUUGUCAAAAGAGGGUUUAAUUUGUGUGCUUAAUAUAUUUCGCAUCAAGGCUCAUCUUCUGGGUUAGGGUUCUCGUCGUCCUGUGGCUCCAGUCGGCUAACGAGUGCAGCGAUUUGCAAGUCUUUUUCUUCCACA